AUGCAAGUAUGGUACAAGUAUGCCUGUAUAUUGAAAGUUGUACUACCUCAUUUAACAUUUGCUGUGACAGAUUGAAAGUUGUACUACCUCAUUUAACAUUUGCUGUGACAGAUUGAAAGUUGUACUACCUCAUUGAACAUUUGCUGUGACAGAUUGAAAGUUGUACUACCUCAUUGAACAUUUGCUGUGACUCAUCAGAAAUCUGAAUCUCCAGCCUGUAAGAGAGAGAGAGUCUAAUGUGAGCUUGUAAAAACCGGUUGGGUGAUUCACAAAUUUUCGGAGGAAUAUUGAAACAACUAUGUGGCAGAGCACAGAAUGAUGUUCACAUCUUCUAGUACUUAAUUAAAAACUUUUCAACUUAAAGAAAAGGGGGCGAUGUAGUUACUUGUAUAUUCUAUCAAAUGAUGGCUGAUGAGCAGUUACCCCUCACGCCGCCAGAGAACACUACACGUGUGCCGAUCUCAGGCUAUUAAUAGGGGAAAAAAGAGUAGAGUUCAGUAGAGACAAUGACGUCCACGAAGUGGAUCAAUGUGUCUCAACAUGUAAUCAAUGGCUAGAUUUAAUACAGUCAGUAUAAAACACAAAUUCAUUAGUUGCCUAUUUUAGCACAUUUUUUUUUACAUUUCCUUACCAUUUAUAUGUAAGUCACUUAUCAUCCUGAAAAGGACAUGUAUAUAAUUAAGUAUCAUGCAAUAAUUUAAUACUUACUCUUUCACUAAUUUGUCUUUAUGCUAUCUAUAUAAUUAGUUACUAAGAGUAGUAUCUCAACAUGUAAUCAAUGGCUUGAUUUAACACAGCUGGUAUAAAACACUAAUUCAUUAGUUCUAUAUUUAAUCAUACUGUUUUACAUUUCCUGGCCAUUUAUAUA